AGAUGUCAUUGUCAUCUCACAAGCUUACUACUGCAUAAUUCAUCCUUUUGAGCUCUCUCUAAUCUCUGGCUGGCUGCAUCAACUCAGUUAUUCUGGCUCAAAAUCCUAUCCAAGCUGACUGAUUCAAACUAACUUCUGCCGGCUUCUCACUGAAUUGCUCUGCUUGGCCUCAAACUAACUCUAACAAUUUGUUCUAAUCUUCUGGAUCCCUCUUUUUCUUUGGAUUCAAGUACCUCUGCUGACCUGCACUGACUCACUCAACUCAACUCCCUCAACUGACUGAACUGAAAUGACUGAACUGAGCUCCACUUUAUUGCCUGGUCUCAACCGAACUUCACUCGCUGAACUACACCCUCCCUCUCUGCACUGCUCUUUCCUCUAAAAAGAUUCAUUGUUUGGGAUUGAAGGUGUGUACUAAGGGCAUGUCUGUAUUCCAGCCAGAGAGAUUAAAGGUGUGUGGCAUGUCUUCAUCUCAGCCAGGUCACACAGAUCGAGGUCUUUAGAUAGUGAUCCCUUACCAGAGCAUCCAUGUUGCUAGAUUAAAAUUUAGCUAUAAAAUGUACAGUUGGAGGAGAAAGAGAACACCAGAAAAUAGAGAUAAACUCAGUGUUCAAAAGAUAAAACAUUUAAAGAAAAGCUUGAUGCUAAGUGGAAUAACAGUAAUGGUAACUUCAGGGCAAGACCCACCCAGCUACAAUCCCAACUUGUGAAAAAGAAUUAAAGUUAGUGAAAGAGGAUUAAAUAAAAGCUUAGGCAAUGAAGAAAACUCUAAAGAAAUCAGGAAGCUGGAGAAAAUAUAUUUGAACAAUGGGGUCAUGUUCCAGUGCCAGCAAACAGAAGAAUCUGGCAGUUUCAGAUACAUGGUUCUGGCUUUACAGUCAAGAUUAUUAGACAGGGAUUGUGAAAUCUCCUUCCAUGCAAAGGCACUAAAAACAGGCAUGUAUUUGGGAUAUCCCUCCCGGAGUCUCAGAGAGGCCAUUGUGUGAAGUUCUGAAAGUGAAGCCUGAAUGUUGUUGGAGUCCCAAGAUGUUGAUGAUGGCAGAGUCAUAAGAUACCUGCCAAGGAAAGCUGCUAAUGGAGUGUGGAACCAAUCCAAGAGAAAUAAUUGUGUUGCAGUCAACAAAGUGGAAAGGAGUUGGAGAUCUAAAGAACACUUUGACAUCAGAUAUGGAGAUACAGUGUUUGGAGUUUGCAGGGCACUUUUCACUCUUGCUUUGGUCCAGUAUUUCCUCACCAAACUACCUUUCCUACCUUGUGGAAUUGUAACGUACAUUCUGUACCAUUGUAUGUUGGAAGUAUGUGAUCUGCUUGUUUAUUUUGAUUUUAGAAAGGGUUACAAUUCAGAUUGCCUUUAAUCUCAAAAGAGGCAUUAAACUUUGGACAUU
rnacentral:lncRNA from 1 species